AGGUCGACAGGUUCAGUCUGUUUUAGUUUUCUAAUGCAUUAUCGUAAUUAUGAAAUUGACUAUAUCGGUUUGUUUUGCUAUACGUUUUUCAAUUUGCUUAUGUGCUAGAGAACAAAUGUACUAUGCUGUUGCCGACAUAAAACAACAAAUUAUAAUCGAAACCAAACCACACAAGUUUCAAAUCGGCAAAGUAAACUAUACGUGCAGUAUAAAUGCCACGGGGUAAGUCGUAUCAAAUGAGAUUAUUUAGAAGAGCACACGUAGAGACUUCCGGACAGCGCCCCACAGGCGUACUCAGCAGACUUCUUGGAAGGUUAUGCGACCGUCGAUCGCAUACAUCUUUAUUGGCAUAACGCACUCAACGACUUACAGAUGAAUAACGUUAAUGGGUGUACGACUAUGAACGAUUACAUUCUGAAAAAUCCAGAAUGGGUUCUAUUGAAAAUCAAAGAAAAACGCGGAUACGAUACUUUUUAGUAUCAAAUAGGUAGAAAAUAAACAUAGAACAGAGACUUUAAUCGAGAUGGAUUUACCUCCAUUUCUUUUUUUUAAGUGGAACUAAUGUACAAACAACUCUAAGACUUGUGCGAUGGAUACAUGAAAGGCAAAACUAGUAAAAUGGAAGAAAUAUCUUGGGUUGAAUUUUUGUGUGUUUUAAUGAUUGAUUGAUUUGUUAACAAAAUAUAUUUGAAUAUCAUUUAAAAACAUUUUGCAAUUGGUUGAACAUUCAAGAAGACUUGUAUGACUUGGCGACCGCUCUCGAUACAAACAUAACUCAUCCCAAACCAUUUGGCAGUCCUCGACUCUCAUCAAACUGCUGCCAGGAUAUAAAGACUUGCUUGUGUCUCACUAGACGUGGAACCGGUACCUAAUUAAAGUACGAAACAAUGUUGAGGAUACAAGAACGUUACCUUUUCUGGUACAAAAUGAACAAAAAGUCAAAUCACUUGGUGUUUGGCCAAAAAACUACGUUUACAUCUUACCCUGGCCUUAUACAUUCUUCUGAAGAUUUUUACUUGAUUUACUCCGGACUAGCUGUCAUGAAAAUUUCAUUUAAUGUUAUUACAAACAAUUAUUAUAUGAUAAAGUCAGCCAUAAGGGUCGACUGUUUGUUUUUAUAUGUUCCAUGGUUGCAAACCGAAUUGCUCGCGAUGGAUCCAAAUGGGGAAAAUUGUUUGGACCGCACAACAGCGGUACAAACAACAACCAGUGGAUGAUAGCUAUGAUGCACUCUUCCACCCUUACCAUAGACCUCCCAAGCACGGACUGAUGUUCCUUGGCUUUAGUGGUUUGCCCCGAAGGGAUCCCCUACGACUGCGGACCGACUAGUAGCACUAGGUGCUAAUUGCGAGCCGGAGAAGGUGUGUCUCAAGAUGAAGUGACCAGUCAGAAGGCCACUUUUUGGAGGGCUCUACGUAAAGUACGGACUGCUUGAGGUGGUCGAACAAGUACCAGGUCAACUCCACUCAUGAAUACAACCUUGGCAGCUAUCGGAAUGUUAACCAUCUUGGACAGCCAGUCUGUUAGGAUUUCAAGCCGGUGAAACGCCAAUGGGCAUACGUUAGUUAUGUUUACAAAAACUAGUAUUUAACCCUUUUCUGAUAUGGUUUGCCAUGACAAUAUUUGAUCUGUGCAAGAUUUAAAGGGUAUAUAUUCCUUAUAUAUACACCUUAUGUAAAUGUAUACAACCUCCCCAUUGUCGCCAACUCGAACUAACUUAUUACAAAGGAUAUAAACUGUAGUAUACUGAAUUGUAAAGUAUUUAUAUGUUUAAAAAAAAUUGCUUAUAAAUGCAAGCGCACGUAUGUAGAUUAUAUCAUAUGUACAAGCUGGGGACGGAUUUAGGAUUAUUUUUUGUUACUAAGACUUUUUACUGAGUAGAAACCGCCAAACUAUUGAACUCCUUCUCUGCUCAACUUUGAUAUUUAAGCCCAAAACACUAAAUAUUAACUGAGCACCUCCCCUCAUCCUUUUUUUUAAACCGCCCUCGCGUACAGUAUAUUACCAGUCGUUUGUCAAUAUUUUAUAUUUAUACAUUACAACUCUAUCAUCCAAUAUAUAUUUAAAUACAAUAUAUUUAUAAUUGUGUUGUCCACAAUUUAGAUGAACCAACCUAAUAUUUCCGGUGGGUCAUUGUCACUUUUUAAAGGUGUUUAUUGUGUUGUGUUUUAUUUCCAAUAACGCAUAUAACUUUAGACAGUUAAACGUGGGUACAUAUCGACUAUUGCCUGCUAAAUACCUACUUAUCAAAUUAUUAUUGAAUGUUUUUGACGAGGAGUCAAAAACGAGUGAAAGAAACAGUUUUUUUUUUAAUUUAACAGAUCAGCAUACGGGUCAAGCUACAGCCAUACCGCAUACGUCAUACAUUUAGACUUAAAUUUACAUGAAAUAACUACGAAUUAAUAAACAAUAAAUCAUAAAUAAAUAAAUGAAAAUGUAUUAAACUUGACUAAAAAAAAAUGAACUAGUCCAUAAUAUAGUUAUUAACGAUUACACCAAUCACAGUAAAAGUACAUUAUUAUAUUAUACAAAAAAAAGUAUAGAUUGUCUAAACAAUAAA